AACGAACGCUGGCGGCAUGCCUAACACAUGCAAGUCGAACGAGACCUUCGGGUCUAGUGGCGCACGGGUGCGUAACGCGUGGGAAUCUGCCCUUCGGUUCGGAAUAACAGUGGGAAACUACUGCUAAUACCGGAUAAUGACGUAAGUCCAAAGAUUUAUCGCCGAAGGAUGAGCCCGCGUAGGAUUAGCUAGUUGGUGGGAAGGU
rnacentral:rRNA from 1 species